rnacentral:rRNA from 1 species
UACGUAGGGUGCAAGCGUUGUCCGGAAUUAUUGGGCGUAAAGAGCUCGUAGGCGGUCUGUCACGUCGGCUGUGAAAUCCCGAGGCUCAACCUCGGGUCGUGCAGUCGAUACGGGCAAACUAGAGUAUUGCAGGGGAGACUGGAAUUCCUGGUGUAGCGGUGAAAUGCGUAGAUAUCAGGAGGAACACCGGUGGUGUAAACGGCUUCUGGACCAUAACUGACGCUGAGGCACGAAAGCGUGGGUAGCAAACAGG